rnacentral:rRNA from 1 species
UACGUAGGGUGCAAGCGUUGUCCGGAAUUAUUGGGCGUAAAGAGCUCGUAGGCGGUCUGUCACGUCGGCUGUGAAAACCCGAGGCUCAACCUCGGGCCUGCAGUCGAUACGGGCAGACUAGAGUUCGGUAGGGGAGACUGGAAUUCCUGGUGUAGCGGUGAAAUGCGCAGAUAUCAGGAGGAACACCGGUGGCGAAGGCGGGUCUCGUGGGCCGAAACUGACGCUGAGGAGCGAAAGCGUGGGGAGCGAACAGG